UGUUUAACUCCUUGUUUCCCAGGUGGAGAGGAAGCGACACAUCGGGAACGAUAUUGUGACAAUCGUCCUGCAGGAAGGGGAUGACGCCUCCUCGUCCUUCAAACCCUCCAUGAUCCGCUCGCACUUCACACAUAUUUUUGCCUUAGUUCGUUACAACAGAGAAAAUGAGAGCUACCGGCUGAAGAUCUUCUCAGAGGAAAGUGUUCCGCUCUUCGGUCCCCCUCUGCCCUCCCCCCCGGUCUUCACUGAUCAUCAGGAGUU